CAUCACUACGCUAGAUGCAUAUCAAUAAGCGGAGGAAAAGAAACUAACAAGGAUUCCCUUAGUAACGGCGAGUGAAGCGGGAAGAGCUCAAAUUUGAAAUCUUCAAGGUUUUACCUUGACGAAUUGUAGUUUAUAGAAGUGUUUUCUGUUAGUGGAGUUUGGUAAAAGUUCUUUGGAAUAGGACAUCAUAGAGGGUGAGAAUCCCGUAUUUGACCAGUUACUUUCCAGCUGUGUGAUACACUUUCAAAGAGUCGGAUUGUUUGGGAAUGCAGUCCAAGAUGGGUGGUAAAUUUCAUCUAAAGCUAAAUAUUGGCGAGAGACCGAUAGCGAACAAGUACCGUGAGGGAAAGAUGAAAAGAACUUUGAAAAGAGAGUUAAACAGUACGUGAAAUUGUCAAAAGGGAAGCGUUUGACACCAGUGUUGUUUUUCUCGAAAAUCAAUUCAUGAAUGUCUUUAUGCUAGAAGUUUAUGACUUUAUCAGGCUUACUGUCUAGUUUUCUUGUAACUUUGUUAAUGCACUUUUCGGUUAACAAGUCAACAUCAAUUUCUUUUGCUGUAAAAGGGUAUGAGGAAGGUGGCUUUCAUCUUCGGUAGAAAGUGUUUAUAGCCUUGUAGCCUCUGCAAUCGGAGAGAUUGAGGUCUGCAGCGUAGACUCUUCGGGGUUAGAUACAGCUUGUGCUAAGUUAUAGUCUUUUCAUAGACAACUUGUUGACUAUAAUUUAAGUCCUUGUAACUUACUCGCUUAUGCUAUUUUACCUACGCUUAGGAUGUUGACACACGCGCGUGCUCG
rnacentral:rRNA from 1 species